rnacentral:rRNA from 1 species
UUCAACUUGAGAGUUUGAUCCUGGCUCAGAGCGAACGCUGGCGGCAGGCUUAACACAUGCAAGUCGAGCGGGCAUCCUUGUGGUGUCAGCGGCAGACGGGUGAGUAACGCGUGGGAACGUGCCCUUCGGUUCGGAAUAACUCAGGGAAACUUGAGCUAAUACCGGAUACGCCCUUAUGGGGAAAGGUUUACUGCCGAAGGAUCGGCCCGCGUCUGAUUAGCUAGUUGGUGAGGUUAUGGCUCACCAAGGCGACGAUCAGUAGCUGGUCUGAGAGGAUGAUCAGCCACACUGGGACUGAGACACGG